CAGUUGUUAGAUAAUCACUUAUGCAAUCUAUUUCUUCUUUUGGAUCAGCGUGUGCAACCAGUUUGUUGAAGGUCAUAUGAUCUACUCUUGGCACUGAGUAAAAUCAAGGACGAAGCUUAACGUUUGUUCAAUAAAAACAGCAAAAAGGUAAAAAAUGAUGGCGAGUAAUCAAAGCAGCAACUAAUCUCACACUGCUAUUCUACAGUUGAGCAUGCAUUUACAACUUGGUGGGAUCUGGGGUUAGAGGAGACUGGACAGAACACACACAGAGCACACGAAAGAGUGGUCCUGAAGCCACUCCUGUGCUGUGUGCUUAGGGUCAUUGUCCUGUUUGGAGGUCUGAGGUUCAGAGCACUCUGGAGCAGGAAGAUUGACCUUUGGGUUCUUUGCAUCUCCCUGACUAAGGCCUUGAACUCAGACAUGAUAUCAGAGGCUCUCCAAAGAAGGCUGCCGGUCGAUCAGCUGAUUAUGUUGCCACAUGCUUUUUCUUUUUGCAUGCUCAUCUUUUUGUCCACGUAUUUGCUGAAUGUUCACCUUGACCUGGUCUCGAGUGUACUGGAGCAAUAUCAGUAUCAGUAUUGACCUGGAAAUCUUCCUUUGCAGGACCUGUAAGCCUAGUUCUUACAGAGAGAUUUUCGACAGACACAUGUGAGACUAAUGCUGGACUUUCUCCUCUUCUAUCUGUUGCUCUGGAGGCCAAUGGCUGGCUCAGACAAACUGAGGGGCCAUAGUGCACUGGGGAAGAGAGGAAAUCAAUCAAGAAAUCAAGAAUCUAUGGCAAGAUCUGAAAACUGCUGUUCACAAACGCUGUCCAUCUAAUCUGACUGAGCUGGAGCUGUUGUGCAAAGAAGAAUGGGCAAGGAUUUCAGUCUCUAGAUGUGCAAAGCUGGUA